AGAUAAACUGUGAGAUGAAGAAACCAAU
rnacentral:piRNA from 1 species